CCUGAAACAUAAGGAGGAAUAAAACAUCAUACUCCAAAGAAAUAAUGGCACUUCUGCUGAAGAGCUUUUAAGUUUUAAUGAUCUGAGGGCAAUUUCCUUCAAGUGAAGUCCACUCUGAACCCCAGUGCUGUAGAAGUUGCUUCUAAACAGUCCUUAAAACGCGCUGUGAGGCACAAGGUGCAGUUGCAAGACAAAACAAUUGAUUGAAGACCCAUGGGGGUGAGAUUGUGGAGAAGAAAAAUACAGCCAGGUUUAGAAUCUGCCAUCAAAGCCACACACCCAUGUGCAGAAUGUUGGCUGAACAGGAAUCCCAGCUUCCUCCCAAUGUCCUGCUUCUGAACGCACAGAGUGAGUGACCACACAGGGUGACACCUCUGGCCUUCCCUGCUUCACAGUCAUCACUUAUUCCCACAUGCUUUGAUUGACACACUCAUUCAGCUGACAUUAAUCAGCUUCUCCCUUGUUCUGGGUGCCAUUCAAGAUGCUUUGCCAAAUUACUGUCAACCCAGACAGCAAACCUGUAAGACAGUUACUAUCACUCCCAUAGUACAGAUGAAGAAAUGGAAUCUCAGGUGGUUAGACGAUAGGAUCAGAUCUACACCAUUAGUGAGAAGCAGAGCCCUACUGCAGUUCCCAAGUAAUACUCCUGUAAAUAAUAGUUGGCUUCCUCAGGAUAACACAACUGUUAUCCUAGCUACUCAGGAGGCUGAGGCAGGAGGAUCAGAAAUUCAAGGCCUGUCUCAGCAAUUAGUGAGACUGUCUCAAAAUGAACAAUCAAAAGGGCUUGGGUUGUAUGUAGCUCAGUGGUAGAGUACCCUGGGUUCGAUCCCGAGUACUGCAAACACACACACACACACACACACACACAUUGGUUUAUUUAUGGUGAGAUGAGGGGCUGCCCUCCAAACCUGCACACCCUGCAGUUUUUCCCAUCCCAGUCCAGAUGCAAGUUGUUUUUUGUCAUACUCUUCCCCCUGUCCUUCACAAGACCAUGUUGCCUUUGCCUUCUAAGUUAAGUCCAGAGUUGAGGCCUCCUCCUUACCCACUGCUGCUGACUCAGCCAUUCCCUCACCUCCCUGCUUUGGCCUCUGCUCUGGCCUCUGCCCCCUAGAGCAUGUUCUCAACUCUGCAGCCAGGGGGCACUGUUGUAAACAGACACAGUCUGUGUCCAUCUCCCAAGUCCCCCCACCUCCGUCAGAGUAAAGGUCAGUCCAGUCAAGGCCUGCAAGUCCUCUCUGGUCCCAGCUCCUAUCAUCAGGCCCUGUCCUGGCCCAGCCUUCACAUUGGCCCUUCCUUCUGUCCCGACUUCUCCAUUGCUAGAGCCCACUUGGCCUGUACUCUGCCUCUCAAACCCUUGCUUCAGUGCCAUUUCCACCUGCUCUAGAGAAAUUGAAUGAGGCUGGCAGUUUUUGUCUUCUGUACUCUCAGAUGUAUUCCCAGUGCCUGCUGCA